GAGAAGUGAGGUAAACAAGUGGAGGAGAGGAAAUGUCUCCCUCCUGUGUCGACUGCAGCAACUGAUGGCCUCGGGGAAUUUGGGCCGUUGCUUCUCCCUGGAUACCAGGACCUGCAUGUCCUCAAACGUCGGGUGGUUCCCUGCCUCCGCCUGGAAAGCCAUCUGGUACUCUGGCACAGACUCUCCUAGAGGGAAAAGGUCAGUGCAUCUCAUGAAGGUCUCCCAGUAGAUCAGCCCCAGGGCGUACAUAUCCACCUGCUUCAGUGCUGACUCACAGUCCCUCAGGUUCACCGCACCCUCCAGAACCUCUGGAGCCAUAUAGCGGAUUGUCCCCACCUGGCAAACAAAGCAGGAAUAAAAGAAGAAGGAAAAAAGAUGUGUACGGGAUUUAGGAGAGCUUCAUGGACAGGCCAAAAUCGAUGAUGACACACGUGCCGUCAGCCUUGACAAGAACAUUCCGGCUGUUCAGGUCCCUGUGGGACACCGCCGGCUUGUACAAGUCUUGAUGGAUGAAAGGAGAGAGGGAC